CGAUGUCACUUCCUUGUAUAGUAAUAUACCACAUGAAUAUGGACACAGAGCGGUUAAACAUUUCUUGGAUAUUUCUAGGGAGUUUUUAACGGCACAAAUUGCAAGUUAUAAACUUAAUUUUAAACAAUUUUUUUUUGGUACUAGGAAGAAUUUUACUUGCAAAUUAAGGGGACUGCCAUUGAAACCAAGUUCGCCACCAGCUAUGCCAAUCUUUUUAUGGCCUUGUGGGAGGAGUCUUUUGUUUAGGGCCCACAUAGCUGGGUGGAGAACUUGGUUUCCUAUGGCAGAUAUAUUGAUGAUAUUUUAUUUGUUUGGAGAGUCGGUAUAGAGGAAUUAAAAAAGUUUCUAUUUUUCCUUAACGACAAUACUUGGGGUAAAGAACUCACAAGUACCUGGAGUAAAAGUGAAAUAGAUUUUUUAGAUUUGAAAAUCUAUAUUGAUGAAGGUAAAAUACUAACUAAAAAUCAUUUUAAAUCGGUUGACUGCAACAGCUUUAUAGAUAGGAAAAGGGACAGUCUAAGGGACAGUUCAUGAGAAUUUGCCGUAAUUGGACGGAUAUAAAAUUAUAUGAAGAUCAGUGUUUAGUGAUUAAAAAUUAUUUUUUAAAUAAGGGGUAUGAAGAUGCUAAAUUGGAAACAGCAAGAAUAGAAGUAAAAAAUAAAGAACGAAAAGAUAUGCUUGUGUAUGAAGCUAAAGAGAAUAAGAUCAGUAAUGAGGUCCCUUUUAUAUGUAAUUUUACUGUUAAAAAUUACCAAGUACGAAAAAUUAUAACCAAAUAUUGGCCCAUCCUGUUACAGGAUCCUCUUUUAAAUUUCUUUUUACCUAAUAAACCAAGAUUCAUCCAUAGAGGAGUGAAAAAUUUGAAAAGCACCUUAGUUAAUAGUUUUAUUAAAGAAAAAAAUAAUCAAAGCACAAUUUUUAAUAAUGAAAAAGGUUUUUAUGGAUGUGGUCAGUGUGCAG